rnacentral:lncRNA from 1 species
UCAAAAACAAACAACAACUCGGUUCUGGGAUGUUUCCAUGCUGGGUCAGUUUAUGGAUGGAGUAUUAAACAUACGUGUCACGGCGAAUUCUCUUCCCCGGGUUGGCCUCAGUUUUACGGGCCUCGAGAAAGUAAAGCAUCGACUGAGAAGCAGAAAGUUUUGAGGCUGGAGGAGAGAGCCAGGUGCAGCUCAAGACAUGUGCUAAUUUAUGUUUUUCAGCUUUCAGGAUUUCUCUUGGAUCUCAUCCAAAAGCUCUCCCUGAGUCAGAGAGAUCCUUCACAGUGGGAGUCCCUACCCACAAGCCCCUGCUGCGCGUUUAAAUCGGAAGCCGGAGCAGCCACGGAGAGGAGACGAGGAGAGACAAAGCACGCCGUACGGAGAGAGUGGGACACAGAGGGUCUGAGCAGUGUCAGAAAAUCUGGCAGCAGCUGAGAUGAAGGCAGGACGUUUGAAGAUGAGGAAAGAUGUUUGAACCUGCACCCUCUUCUCAGUGUCCCAGUGGGGAGCGUAUAUGGGAAGGCAAGUCAUGUAUUAUUUAGAGUCAGAUCUUCUUUUCUGCUUGAUCAGGGCUUGAUUGAGAGAGGCUGUGACUGCGGUUUCUUUCCCCCGCGUAACAAUCUGCUCAGGAAUGAAGGUGAACUUGUGACCUCCACACAGUCGAUGGCUGCAUACACUGAAUGCAAAGUGCAGGUAAAUGUUACACCCCUCUGUUGUCAUGUGCACAGACAGAUCAUGUCAUCAGAAAACUCCUGUGCAUUACUUUAUUGGACAGCUGGGGGAUUACCUGCAGCCCUUGUGGAGGUUUUUUUCCAAGCGCUAAUAGACAAGAGCACAUGAGUAUUGGUAAUGUGUCAAGACCACAGGGAGCUGUGUUUUAGCCAAUCCCUAAUUAAAGUAGAAACUCCAAGCGUGCUCCUGCAAACGAGCCGUAGCUGAUAUGCUCUUUAAGUCAUUAACAGCUCGGAGCCACA